GGGUGCAAUCAUACCAGCACUAAUGCACAGGAUCCCAUCAAAAUUCCGGAGUUAAGCAUGCUUGGGCGAGAAGGUACUUGGAUGGGUGACCUCCUAGGAAGUCCUCGUAUUGCACCCC
rnacentral:rRNA from 1 species